CAAUACAGUCACACUACCCUGAGAAUGCCUGAUCUUGUCUUGAACUCGGAAAGCUAAGCAGAGUUUGGCCAGGUUAGUACUUGGAUGGGAGACCUACCUGAUAUACCAGGUGCUGUAAGCU
ensembl:rRNA 5S_rRNA 5S ribosomal RNA